rnacentral:rRNA from 1 species
AUUGAACGCUGGCGGCAGGCCUAACACAUGCAAGUCGAGCGGCGCGGCGGACGGGUGCGUAAUGCCUAGGAAUCUGCAUGGUAGUUGGGGAUUACGUUCGGAACCGGGCGCUGAUACUGCAUACUAUCAGAUGAGCCUAGGCCGGAUUAGCUAGUUGGUGGGGUAAAGGCCUACCAAGGCGACGAUCCGUAACUGGUCUGAGAGGAUGAUCAGUCACACGGGAACUGAGACACGGUCCAGACUCCUACGGGAGGCAGCAGUGGGGAAUAUUGGACAAUGGGCGAAAGCCUGAUCCAGCCAUGCCGCGUGUGUGAAGAAGGUCUUCGGAUUGUAAAGCACUUUAAGUUGGGAGGCGUUACCAACAGAAGAAGCACCGGCUAACUUCGUGCCAGCAGCCGCGGUAAUUC